CUUUAUGAUGGAUGUAGAACACACU
rnacentral:piRNA from 1 species